rnacentral:rRNA from 1 species
AUACGUAGGUGGCAAGCGUUGUCCGGAAUUAUUGGGCGUAAAGCGCGCGCAGGUGGUUCCUUAAGUCUGAUGUGAAAGCCCACGGCUCAACCGUGGAGGGUCAUUGGAAACUGGGGGACUUGAGUGCAGAAGAGGAAAGUGGAAUUCCAAGUGUAGCGGUGAAAUGCGUAGAGAUUUGGAGGAACACCAGUGGCGAAGGCGACUUUCUGGUCUGUAACUGACGCUGAGGCGCGAAAGCGUGGGGAGCAAACAGGAUUAGAUACCCUGGUAGUCCACGCCGUAAACGAUGAGUGCUAAGUGUUAGGGGGUUUCCGCCCCUUAGUGCUGCAGCUAACGCAUUAAGCACUCCGCCUGGGGAGUACGGUCGCAAGACUGAAACUCAAAUGAAUUGACGGGG